GGGAGCAAUUUAUAGGAAAGACAUCGGCUUUCGUGCCAUAGCUUUCCUCCAGCAGCCCAGGAGUUUGACUUACAAGGAAUCUGGAGUAGAUAUCGCAGCUGGAAAUAUGCUGGUCAAGAAAAUUCAGCCUUUAGCAAAAGCCACUUCCAGAUCAGGCUGUAAAGUUGAUCUUGGAGGUUUUGCUGGUCUUUUUGAUUUAAAAGCAGCUGGUUUCAAAGAUCCCCUUCUGGCCUCUGGAACAGAUGGCGUUGGAACUAAACUAAAGGUGUUAAGAGCAGCUAGCCAAAUGGAUAAGAUACAAUUUUGAACUUAUUCCCUAAUGUGGAUGUUUAUAUUGUUCUUACAUAGAUUGCCCAGCUAUGCAAUAAACAUGAUACCAUUGGUCAAGA
rnacentral:sRNA from 1 species